CGCCGGCUUCGUGUGGACGGAAGGCUGAACCGUACAAGACCUUUGCGGUUUCGCCAUGAAAUCGGCUUCGUGUGGACGGGGCCUUAGCUUUUUCCUUUUAUUAUCCUACCUGUUCUCCAUUGUAUUGUGCAUUCUUGUGGAGUUUAAAACAAAAUGUCAUUAUACAUUUACCUCUAUUAACGUUUAAUUUAAUUUUUUUAAUUAGAUCUGUUUCAGAUAUGAGUGCUAUACGAAAUGUAUAAAUAUUUGUUUCAGAUAUAAAGUGCUAUACAAAUAUAAAUAUAUACAAUAGGCUACAUCAAGGCAGAACAAGAACACAACUACCUUCAUUAGAAAGAAACAUCCAACAACCAUGCAUGUUAAUAGGCUAAAGAACUGAAACUAUUGAGUCGCUGAUGAAUUGAAAAAUCACUGGCACACUUUAUUUACAAAGCUUAUAUUUAAUUGUGAACUUAGUCUUGUAUUGGACUCCAGGGGGGAACACAGGAACAACACAACAUAGGUAUCUCAAGAAGGCAGAUGGGAUUCCUACUCCAUAGGCAAGCAACCCAUCCAGAAAAAGCCUACAGGAAAACAUUGCGGCUGACAGCCUUCCAGUAAGAUGCCAGAUCUCUGCGACCUGCAAUGUACUGCUCCCAGAGCCUCUGGGGACGGGCCUCCAACUCCCUCCACCUGCGUCUCCUUAUUUUGGGAGGAUCACCCCGGUCUGCCAUCUCCAGCUUCUCCUCAGCAAGCUGCUGCUGGUCUUUCAGGUGGCGAAGAAACACCCACAGCAAUGGGUGGCGCACUUGAACAGCGUCGUUCAGAGUGCGAUGGCACAGCGAGACGGUCUGUUGUGGAAGGUGUUGUGGAAAAUCCCUCUUGUCAGUCCCUCUUCCUUCAGCUGACCGUCAUCACCACCGGUGACCGAGAACCUCCCUCGGACACAUCGUGUGUUUAGGGGCAACUCUGUACGGCUUCCUGCUAUACACAGGGACAAACGCAGAUAGUGAGUGAGAGUCUGGCCUCAUGUGGACGUAGAGGCGGAAUAGCAUUGGUGGACAGGACAGGGUAGGGGGAGGAUGUGUGAAUUGUGCAACAGGCAGAUAGCAGAAAUGCUGAUGGCUCAAGAGCCUUGCGCAAAACCGUCGCAGAGAUCAGGGGAGACGGCCUCGUGCGGGGGGGUGUACAUGAUGGAAUAACGGUGCUCAAUAGAUUGGUUAAACAUGUUGACGUAAUGUUGGUCGUUGUUUUUAGUCGAAGUGGAUUUGUUUUUAUACAUUUAACGUGACGUCUAUAUUUCUGUAGUUCCCUAUUUAAGUUAGUUUCGUUAUUAACUUUUAGAAGCAUUCGUGUUUUGCCAAAAUGUCUGCCAAAAUGUUUUGCCAAAAUGUCUUCCCUAGCUUUCACAUUUCAAUUACUUGGAAAUAUACAUAUAUGUACAUAUAUAUAAGCAACAAAUAUCUUACUUAAAAAAAUGUAUUGAAAUGAUGAUUUCAACCCAGCUUGGUUAUUUAUUUAUGUCUUUAUUUAUUGUUUAUUUCUGGUGAGUAUAUUUGGUGCUCACCAGAUUCAUAAGGCGAUGUAUGUUCCUGCGCCGGAAGAGGAGCCACAAAACGUCAUGUUUGACACCAAGCCUGAUUCCAGAUCAGACAAGUCGUCAUGACGGACAAAGCGCCAAGUUGUCUGUGACAAAGGCAGAGUCUGCCUGGUAGCAGCUAUGUUUGGAGCUAUAUACUUUAGCUUGUUCAGAGUGCGGCUGCUAGAGUUAUAACAAAGACCAACAAAUUUGAACAUAUUAGACCAAUUCUUAAAUCGUUACAUUGGCUUCUGUAGGUCAGAGAAUUGAUUUUAAAAUCAUGUUGCUAACCUAUAAAUCCCUACAUAGUUUAGGCCCAAAAUAUUUAACUCAUACGAUUCCACUACAUAAGCUUUCUAUGGAUCUUCUGAGACCAUUCUGUUAAUUAUCCCCAGAGUAAGAACGAAACAUGGGAAAGCAGGAUUUAGUUACUACGCAACAAAUAGCUGGAAUAAAC
ensembl:lncRNA